UACGGAGGGUGCGAGCGUUGUCCAGAAUCAUUGGGCGUAAAGGGCGCGUAGGUGGCGGGACAAGCGUGCGGUGAAAGCCUGGGGCUCAACCCCGGGUCGGCCGUGCGAACUGUUUUGCUUGAGCACUGUAGAGGCAGGCGGAAUUCCGGGUGUAGCGGUGGAAUGCGUAGAGAUCCGGAAGAACACCGGUGGCGAAGGCGGCCUGCUGGGCAGUAGCUGACACUGAGGCGCGACAGCGUGGGGAGCAAACAGG
rnacentral:rRNA from 1 species